rnacentral:rRNA from 1 species
AGGAAGACGGCCCUACGGGUUGUAAACUGCUUUUGCAGGGGAAUAAACCCCGGUUCGUGAACCGGGUUGAAUGUACCUUGAGAAUAAGGAUCGGCUAACUCCGUGCCAGCAGCCGCGGUAAUACGGAGGAUCCAAGCGUUAUCCGGAUUUAUUGGGUUUAAAGGGUGCGUAGGCGGCUUUUUAAGUCAGGGGUGAAAGACGGUAGCUCAACUAUCGCAGUGCCCUUGAUACUGAAGAGCUUGAAUGUACUUGAGGUAGGCGGAAUGUGACAAGUAGCGGUGAAAUGCAUAGAUAUGUCACAGAACACCAAUUGCGAAGGCAGCUUACUAAAGUAUGAUUGACGCUGAGGCACGAAAGCGUGGGGAUCAAACAGGAUUAGAUACCCUGGUAGUCCACGCCCUAAACGAUGAACACUCGAUGUUGGCGAUAUACGGUCAGCGUCUAAGCGAAAGCGUUAAGUGUUCCACCUGGGGAGUACGCCCGCAAGGGUGAAACUCAAAGGAAUUGACGGGGGCCCGCACAAGCGGAGGAGCAUGUGGUUUAAUUCGAUGAUACGCGAGGAACCUUACCCGGGCUUGAAAGUUAGUGAAUGUGACAGAGACGUCACAGUUCUUCGGAACACGAAACUAGGUGCUGCAUGGCUGUCGUCAGCUCGUGCCGUGAGGUGUUGGGUUAAGUCCCGCAACGAGCGCAACCCCUAUGUUUAGUUGCCAGCAUUUAAGGUGGGGACUCUAAACAGACUGCCUAUGCAAAUAGAGAGGAAGGAGGGGACGACGUCAAGUCAUCAUGGCCCUUACGUCCGGGGCUACACACGUGCUACAAUGGAUGGUACAGAGGGCAGCUACCUGGCAACAGGAUGCCAAUCUCUUAAAGCCAUUCACAGUUCGGAUCGGGGUCUGCAACUCGACCCCGUGAAGUUGGAUUCGCUAGUAAUCGCGUAUCAGCAAUGACGCGGUGAAUACGUUCCCGGGCCUUGUACACACCGCCCGUCAAGCCAUGGAAGCUGGAAGUGCCUGAAGUGCGUAACCGCAAGGA